GCGAAGGUGGCGGAAUUGGGAGACGCGCUAGCUUCAGGUGUUAGUGUCCUUACGGACGUGGGGGUUCAAGUCCCCCCCCUCGCACCA
rnacentral:tRNA from 1 species